CAGCCGCCGCGGUAAUACGAAGGGUGCAAGCGUUACUCGGAAUUACUGGGCGUAAAGCGUGCGUAGGUGGUGGUUUAAGUCCGUUGUGAAAGCCCUGGGCUCAACCUGGGAAUUGCAGUGGAUACUGGGUCACUAGAGUGUGGUAGAGGAUAGUGGAAUUUCCGGUGUAGCAGUGAAAUGCGUAGAGAUCGGAAGAACACCAGUGGCGAAGGCGGCUCACUGGACUGGUAUUGACGCUGAGGUGCGAAAGCGUGGGGAGCAAACAGGAUUAGAUACCCCUGUAGUCCCUGUCUCUUAUACA
rnacentral:rRNA from 1 species